rnacentral:rRNA from 1 species
CAGCCGCCGCGGUAAUACGUAGGGUGCGAGCGUUAAUCGGAAUUACUGGGCGUAAAGCGUGCGCAGGCGGUUCGUUAAGACAGAUGUGAAAUCCCCGGGCUCAACCUGGGAACUGCAUUUGAGACUGUAUGGCUAGAGUGUGUCAGAGGGGGGUAGAAUUCCGCGUGUAGCAGUGAAAUGCGUAGAUAUGCGGAGAAACACCGAUGGCGAAGGCAGCCCCCUGGGCCAAUACUGACGCUCAUGCACGAAAGCGUGGGGAGCAAACAGGAUUAGAUACCCGCGUAGUCCCUGUCUCUUAUAC